rnacentral:rRNA from 1 species
GCCCCGGUAAACGGCGGCCGUAACUAUAACGGUCCUAAGGUAGCGAAAUUCCUUGUCGGGUAAGUUCCGACCUGCACGAAUGGCGUAAUGAUGGCCAGGCUGUCUCCACCCGAGACUCAGUGAAAUUGAACUCGCUGUGAAGAUGCAGUGUACCCGCGGCAAGACGGAAAGACCCCGUGAACCUUUACUAUAGCUUGACACUGAACAUUGAGCCUUGAUGUGUAGGAUAGGUGGGAGGCUUUGAAGUGUGGACGCCAGUCUGCAUGGAGCCGACCUUGAAAUACCACCCUUUAAUGUUUGAUGUUCUAACGUGGGCCCCUAAUCGGGGUUGCGGACAGUGUCUGGUGGGUAGUUUGACUGGGGCGGUCUCCUCCUAAAGAGUAACGGAGGAGCACGAAGGUUGGCUAAUCCUGGUCGGACAUCAGGAGGUUAGUGCAAUGGCAUAAGCCAGCUUGACUGCGAGCGUGACGGCGCGAGCAGGUGCGAAAGCAGGUCAUAGUGAUCCGGUGGUUCUGAAUGGAAGGGCCAUCGCUCAACGGAUAAAAGGUACUCCGGGGAUAACAGGCUGAUACCGCCCAAGAGUUCAUAUCGACGGCGGUGUUUGGCACCUCGAUGUCGGCUCAUCACAUCCUGGGGCUGAAGUAGGUCCCAAGGGUAUGGCUGUUCGCCAUUUAAAGUGGUACGCGAGCUGGGUUUAGAACGUCGUGAGACAGUUCGGUCCCUAUCUGCCGUGGGCGCUGGAGAACUGAGGGGGGCUGCUCCUAGUACGAGAGGACCGGAGUGGACGCAUCACUGGUGUUCGGGUUGUCAUGCCAAUGGCACUGCCCGGUAGCUAAAUGCGGAAGAGAUAAGUGCUGAAAGCAUCUAAGCACGAAACUUGCCCCGAGAUGAGUUCUCCCUGAGACUUAGAGUCUCCUGAAGGAACGUUGAAGACGACGACGUUGAUAGGCCGGGUGUGUAAGCGCAGCGAUGCGUUGAGCUAACCGGUACUAAUGAACCGUGAGGCUUAACCUU